UCCUCCACCCCUCCUGUCCUACCAUCAGCGAGAGAGAGAGAGAGCGAGAGAGAGAGAGAGAGAGAGAGAGAGAGAGAGAGAGAGAGAGAAGACCUAAUCUACACUCUCCGGGAUCUGCAGGCAGGGACAGCAGAGGAUCUGAAGAUGGAUUGGCGUAAAUUACUGAAAGCGUUGAUUUUUUUGGCAUAUGUCAUUGUCAUUAUGACUGGAGUUGGUCUGAUAUCGUUGGGGGCCUGGUCGAAUGUGGAAAAGGACCCCUGUAAAGUGAUCUGUGAGGAAGUGACAAAUACGACGAAAGAGCUGAAUCUUUUGCUGAAGGGGGGCUACCUACCGAUCGCUCUGGGAGUGGUUCUGACUGUGAUUGGCCUCAGGGGCUGCUUGAAAACCCUGUGUAAAUUAUUGGCUAAAAAAUGCUUUUCUUCCCUUUCUUGCUGCCAGUCUUCCUAAGUCUAUUUAUUAAACACAUUCCUGUGGAAGAGCUACAAAUUAAUGCAAAUGUCCGCCCCCACAAACUCUUGUGGCUUUUUUCCCUAACAGUGCCUGCAGAAUUGACUAGGGGUGUGACGAGACACUAAUAUCACGAGACGAAACGAGACACGAUACUGGGUUCACGAGAACGAGACGAGACGAUAUUUAAAAACAAAAUUUUAAAGAAAACGUCAAAAAUGAAAAAUGUCUUGAAAACUAGAGUUUUAUUUGACAAAAUCAUAUAACGCAAACUUAACAGACUGGUUUCUCUCACACAUUGAUUCUAUAAGAAAUAGAAAUAAAAAUAGGAAUAAAAAAUAAAAGUAAAACUUUUCUAGGUCUUAUAUAGUGCAAACAAUAAGUGCAAACAACCAGUCAAAUUAAGCCUAGGGUUUGUGUUUUUUCUCCUAAAUCUCUUGUAAUUUAACUCUGCAGAACCAUAACCAGUCAUAUUAAGACUAUGCUUGAAGUGAAACAGAGACAGAACAUGUUUUUAAAUACAGUACAGAGCUAAGGGAUUAGUACACCUGCCUAUGAAUCAGUCAUGUGUAGGAUUUACUUACAGUAUUUCAGACAUCCCAAGUUGCAAAAGUUGAUUUCAGGGAGGUUACACACACCAAAGGAUAACGGAACUUUUCUUUUAUAUUAAUUAUAAUUUUUUUUAAUUAAAUUGAGAGUAUUCAGAGUUUAAAUGAGUUUUAUCUUUUUUUCUUUUUGGAAGGCCCUGCCUCUGCUUUCCUUUCCUUUUUUUUUGGAAAAAAAAUCCUUUAUUUGACAAAAGUUGACAGAUACAAUAUCACAAAAAAUUGCACAACAUCAAAAACAUUUCAUAUCAUAUUACAAUAAUUAUUAAUAUUGCCUCCGCCAUGAUCUGCUUUCUCUCACUCACUGAACAAAUCCCGUCCAGGAGGGGGGAAAAACACUGCCCGCCCACACUAAAAACUGAUUGGCUGACUCUUUGAAGAGAACAGGCCAAUCAGAACACUCUGUUUUCUCUCUCUCCUUCCCACACUCGUUCUGAAUUCCGGGAGAUUAAAUGUGACUCGCGGGCAUCAGGGAGCCACUACCGAAAUACGGUAGACUCCCGCAGCUUCAGGGAGACUCGGUUUGUCUGGUAUUUACAUAUAGUUUGUAUCUUGUUGGUCACUCUGUUACCAUUUAUUGUUUCCACUGGAGCCAAAAUGCAGCCAGACAUACAACUUAAAAGUAGCAGAAGCUUCUUCUAUACAAAUACCUGAAUUUUCCUCUUCUGCUGAGAGCUGCUCUCACUGCUCAGCCAUCAUACUCACUGCUAUCACUACUGUGUUGCCAGAUCCCUCUAAAAAUGUCCACACUAAACUGUCUUUUUUUCCGCGAGACAGGUUUAAGCCUGAUGAGAAAUAUCGCCACGUUUUAAUAUCAUGCGAUCUCGUCACACCCCUAGAAAUCACCCAUUAAAAUUGCAUUAAAUUACAUUAUAUUACAUUACAUUACAUUACAUUUGGCAGACGCUUUUGUCCAAAGCGACUUACAAUAGUGAAGUACAGAAAUAAUAGAAGGUAAAGCAACUUUAUAUAGGGCCUAAAGGAGGUUAAAGAGAAAUAGUGGCAUAGAGGAGUGCAGGAGGUUAAAAGGAAAUGAGGUUAGAAGUAGUAACUGUGUAAGAGGUGAAUAUCAACACAAGGAACCACAAACGGAAGGUUUGGAUCAUCUGUCAUUUAGUUUUCACAGUGGUGUGCAGUAAAUAUAGUGGGUACACCCUCAGCAACACCCACGACCCCCAACCCCCCCCCCCCAACCCAAAUUAGUUGAAUUCAUAGACUGUAUAUAGCUGGACAGAGCAUCAUCUCUCAAAAGUGAAGCCACCACAGGUCGGGCGCCCCCUGCUGUUCGGCUGCAGAAAGCUGUGUAACUCCACCCAUCCCCAUAGGUUUCAAUGGCAAAACAGAACAACUUUCAAUCACGUUUUUUUCCAAUAUACUGUAAUUCUACCUCCUUUAUUAAAAUGCAGCAGCUAGUGUGACCUCUGCUUAUAUUGUCAUAUUUUUAUAUCCCCACAGAAUUCGUCUUUAAAAACGUUAUUCAGCUCUAUUCAAAAAAGGUGUGGUUAUUGUAAAAGGGCUGGUUAUGGGCGGGACCAAUAACAGACGUCCGCUCCGCUUCGCUCUGCAGCCUGUGACCUCGAGGCAGCCCUCAGGGGCGGGUUUAUUUAAAUGAGUAGGCUGUCUCUUGUGGGGCCUCGUCGGGUUUCUUUGCUUGGUGCCAUGUUUGACGUGCCUUUCUAUGCUCAAUUAGUCGCCGGUUACCAGCGAGGAGACAGAGGGGAAUGUGGGGUUUUAAUCAGAUACUUAUGUAAAUUUUGACAAGGACAUCUCAAUACUUGAGAUGUGUAAUUUGGACCUGUCUGACCCUCCUUGUGGACAAUAUAUUAAUAUGGAACUUAAACCAUGUAUUCAAUUUAUCUAUCAUAUGUAAUCCAAUCAUGUUAUCCAUUAUGUAAUCCAUUUGAAAGUGUGCAUUUUCAUACCUUUCUAGUUACACCAUCAUUUAUCCAUCUGGUUUGGUGUCAUGUAGAUGAAUGUAUAACCAUGUAUUUCCUACUAUUCUGUCAUGUUUACUCACCUAUAUGCAUAAGAUUGUGUCAAAUCAAUGUGGUUUAAAAUGGACUUGGGACUUAAACUAUUUACGAGCACGGAACAUACAUAUAAUAAUAAAAUAACUUAAACAUAACUUUAGUUGUACUCAUAAUCUUUAUGUUCUGAAUGACAGCCUGAGAUACCAAAUUAUCCCAUCAUUGUUCCGUGGGAUUAAAUCCCACGGAAGGGGGGAAUGUGGGGCCCUAAAUUAGGAUAUUAGAGAUCAAUAUGUGCUAUAAACUUAUAUAUUAGAAUAUUUGGCCAUAAGAGAGUAGGUUCACUGAGUUCUGCUCAGCCUCUGUCUCCUCCUUCUCUAACAAGCCCAAACCUGUAUCAGGCACGUCCCGGAGGAGACAGCUAUAUAAGAUAAACAGGCCAUAAUUUGGAGGGUUUCAAGGAAAACGCUACAUAAUGGCUGGGAAGCGUAUCUUUAAGUUCAUUAAUCUAACCAGAUGUCCAACACAGGCCCGGCUCAGUCUUUCUCCCACGGGAAGACUGUACAGGUGAAGGUCAGGAUUUAAAAAAAAAACAUACCAUGUUGAUUUGACCACGAUUAGAUCCAAUUAUGGGAAUUAUGGCAUAAUGCCCAUAGCCUUGACCGGAAAAAACCUCCCUAAAGAUGAUCGUGUUUGGGAACAAUUAUGUUCAACUGAAAAAUGGUUAUAUAACGGUAAAAGGUGGAGCCUAAAGCCCCCACCUUUUGUUCACCCAAAGACUGUAUAAAAAUGUGUGUAAUACCAUUGUCUCAUCAGAAGACUGAAUCCUUCUGACUGAACCUGGCUGAUUUCAAGACAAUAAAAGAACAUCUUAGAACUUCGAAGAA